CAUUUUUCAUCAUGUUCCCUGGAUGGGAUACCAGAGCUGUCCACCAAGAAUGUGCAGCCUCUUCUGGAGGUCUUCCAUGGAUUCACCGUGACCAAGGAAACAAGCUGUUACCUAGCAACAUGGCCCUUCAGGAGGCUGGAAUACAGUGGCACAAUCUCAGCUCACUGCAACCUCCACCUCCCGGGAUCAAGCAAUUCUCCUGCCUCAGCUUCCCAAGGAGCCCCAUAUUCUCAUCCUGUGCCCAGCCCCACAAACUAUGACCUACAAGAAGAGUAUGGUGUCCAGAAAGUGAAGAAACUGCUUUCCAGAUGGGGGAAAAGGUCUGUCAACUGUGCCAAAUGCCGAUCUAUAGAUGAAGAUAAGAAGUGCUCAUUGUCUCCACAUUCCAAAGAGGGCAGCCAGCGAUUUGGUUACCACCUCUCUAAACUAAGAGGUAAGGAAUUAUUCUAUCUACAAUCCCUAAUUCAAAAAAACAAUAACUUUUCAGGACAAUGUUUGUGGAGAGAGGCUUUCCUGCUCACUCAUCUGUGUUUACUUUCUAUUCACCACCAUGCCCAGUGAUGACGCCUGAAGGUUAGGGAUC